rfam:Firmicutes bacterium CAG:882 genomic scaffold, scf142
UUUGGGAGAAGCGUAGAUGUUCUUGGAACUAUGUUGUCAGCCAAGCCAAAAUCGACAAGGAUGUCGAUUUAGAUGCCACGCCCAAGGAUGGGCGGUUGGCAUCGGUGGCGGCAGGUAGUGAAACGUAAAUUAUAGUUCUCAGAACAUCUUGCUUCGUACAAC